rnacentral:rRNA from 1 species
CCUACGGGAGGCAGCAGUGAGGAAUAUUGGUCAAUGGACGCGAGUCUGAACCAGCCAUGUCGCGUGAAGGAUGACUGCCCUAUGAGUUGUAAACUUCUUUUAUAUGGGGAUAAACUCUUCCACGUGUGGGCUUUUGUAAGUACCGUAUGAAUAAGGAUCGGCUAACUCCGUGCCAGCAGCCGCGGUAAUACGGAGGAUUCAAGCGUUAUCCGGAUUUAUUGGGUUUAAAGGGUGCGUAGGCGGUUGGAUAAGUCAGUUGUGAAAGUUCGCGGCUCAACCGGGGAAUUGCAUUUGAUACUGGCAGUCUAGAGAACAGGUGAGGUAGGCGGAAUGUGUGGUGUAGCGGUGAAAUGCUUAGAGAUCAUGAAGAACGCCGAUUGCGAAGGCAGCUUACCGGACUGCAACUGACGUUGAGGCACGAAAGCGUGGGGAGCAAACAGGAUUAGAUACCCCAGUAGUC